AGUUAUUUAGCUUAUUAAUAAAGCAUAUAUCUUGAAAAUAUAAGAAAGAGAAAUUUAGUAACUU
rnacentral:tRNA from 1 species